rnacentral:rRNA from 1 species
UACGUAGGGCGCAAGCGUUAUCCGGAAUUAUUGGGCGUAAAGAGCUCGUAGGCGGUUUGUCGCGUCUGCCGUGAAAGUCCGGGGCUCAACUCCGGAUCUGCGGUGGGUACGGGCAGACUAGAGUGAUGUAGGGGAGACUGGAAUUCCUGGUGUAGCGGUGAAAUGCGCAGAUAUCAGGAGGAACACCGGUGGCGAAGGCGGGUCUCUGGGCAGUAACCGACGCUGAGGAGCGAAAGCGUGGGGAGCGAACAGG